ACUCCUACGGGAGGCAGCAGUAAGGAAUACUGCGCAAUGGACGAAAGUCUGACGCAGCGACGCCGCGUGGGGGAUGAAGGUCUUCGGAUUGUAAACCCCUUUCGGCAGGGAAGAUGGAACGGGCAACCGUUCGGACGGUACCUGCAGAAGCAGCCACGGCUAACUUCGUGCCAGCAGCCGCGGUAAUACGAAGGUGGCAAGCGUUGUUCGGAUUCACUGGGCGUACAGGGAGCGUAGGCGGUUAGGUAAGCCCUCCGUGAAAUCUCCGGGCCUAACCCGGAAAGUGCAGAGGGGACUGCUUGGCUAGAGGAUGGGAGAGGAGCGCGGAAUUCCCG
rnacentral:rRNA from 1 species